rnacentral:lncRNA from 1 species
CUGCCUUGGUGUUUGGCUGAAUUGUCACUGAAUUCCUCCCUGACUUCUGUUUUCUUUCUGGAGACACAAGAAAAGCGCGCUAGUGGAAAGUUCCGCCGAGGAGUCUCCGCCCCCUUUUCCCCGCGGCGGCCUCUUCCCUCCCCGCUCGCCUUCAGGGGUCUGCCAGCAUCUCCAGCGCCGGGUGCGCUGCAGCGGGCUCCCUGCGGGCGAGGAUUCGUUAGUGCCGACAAUAGGCAAGCCGCGGAUGGUUUUCCUAACAAGCGCGAAGGAAUAAGUAAAACCAGCUGGUGCCUGGAAACAGAGGGUAAGCCGCUAUCCGUGAGCUCUGGAGUGGCUGCAGAAUCCUGGGCGCUGGGCUUCCAGGCUUCAUGGACAUGGGAUCAGGAGGACCUCACUUGUCUGCGCUGCUGCUGUGGCUUUGGUCUGCAUCCCUGGGGUCCUGCAAUGCAUGCAUCCUUUUCUGCUGUGCCUCUAGUAACUUUUCCAGGAGACAAGAGCCCUGAUAAAUGGUGUUUUUCCAUCUUCCCAGCCUGCUGCCCUGCCUGCUCAAGUCUGCCUCUGUUCUGUGUUCUUUGUGCUUCCUAAUGUUUACCCAUCCCUGUCUGAAUGGCUCUUAAACUCAGUCUGGCCUUUUAACAACUGUUCAUAAUAAAAAGACCUAUUACUUACUGCA